rnacentral:lncRNA from 1 species
UGAAAUGAUAUUAAUACAUCAUUCACAUGAGGUCAUAGGCUCAAUUUGUUUGAAAAUGCUUGAAAUCAGGGAUAUAUACCUAAGCCAUGCGAGGGAGUGUGACUAAACACUAGUGAGAUGAGAGGAAGAGAGAAUCAUCAUUGUUUUACAAAGCUGAACUUGCUUGAGUCUCUAAUUGUUUGGAAUUGCAUGGGAAUGAAAGAAAAUGACCAAGGCAUUUUGUUCUUUAGUGUAAAUAACUACUAUGCCAUAUAACCUACCCUUAUUUAGGAAAUCACUUGGUUACCCCAUUUGAGCCAAAAAUUUAAAAAAAUAUUCUUGCUUCUUGCAUAUGAUCCCAAGCUUAAAAGAAAAACAAUGUCUCUUCCUUACUUUCUAAGUUGAGAGAGCAUGCAUGAUUAGAUUGUAUAUAAGUGUGCAAGUUGAGGGGAGUGGAGGCUAUUAACAUCUUGGUUUGAAAUUAUCAAUUUCUCAAUCUUGUGUGUAUAAGAAAAAAAAAAGGAAAAGAAAAAGAAAAAGAAAAAAAAAGUGUAUAUAAAGAAUUGAAAAAGCAAAAAGAAAGAUUGAGAGGUUGAAAGGGAAUGAGAGGGGUGAAGUGUGAUACAAAUGAAAAGAAAAUGGUAUCAAAAGAGAGAGUUGGUUGAGGAGAGAGUGGAAGGUUAUUAGUUGUGAUACAUGACAUUUUGUGCUCUCUUAGCUAGAAAGUGUUUGAUUAUCCAGAAAAACCAAUAUUCUUUUGAAACCAAGCCCCAUUACAACCCUAGAAAGACCUUUGUGAUUCUGGACUAACCAUGCAGUUUAAUGAUUACUGAGACAGGUAGCAAGUUUGAUUUAUGUGAUUCAUUGAUUGAUUUGAGUGAAACACUUGCCCUUGAUCUCUUGAAGUUGUUCAGCUGAUGAAAAGUUGAGUAAAUCCUUGAUUGAAAAGUAGGAAAUUCAAAUUGUUCUUAGAAUCUCAUGUUGAAUAUGCUAUUGUAUCAUGAUCUUGGUAAAUUGUUGUGGGCAUCACAUGAUAUUUUCUUAGAGAAGUUAAUUUUCAUAAAUAGGGAAAUCAUGCAGUGUGUAGUGUUUUGGAACCAUGCUUGUUGAAUGAACCUUGUCUAUAGUUUUUUGAUAAUCGGUACCAUUUGUUUGAGGACAAACAAAGUUUCAAGUUGGGGGGAGUUGAUAAGUGUCAAAUCUACUUAAUUUUCAUAUCAUUCUUGGGCACUUAUUAGGGUUAGAAAUGUGAAAUAACUAUCAAAUUUACCCUCAAUUGUGAUGAUAUGGUUUACUAGAGGUCCUUGUAGAAUUUAAGUGUUAAUUAUCAAAUUUUGAUGUAGGAAUGAAUUGGGAAUGAAGAUUUGCUUCAAAGAGGCUUGAAUCAUAAGAAAGCAUCAAAGAAUAGUGCUUGGCUCAGAAGUUUGCUCAAGCCAUCUUGCAACAGAAGGUAUUGAAUGCUUGGCUCAGAAGUUUGCUCAAGCCAUCUAGCAACAGAAGGUUUUAAGUGUUUGGCUCUGAAGUUGGCUCAAGCGAAUAUUUGGUCGCUUGAGCGGUUGAAAGGCGGUUCCCAGUUCUUCCUUCACGUUAAAGAAAGAGUUCGCUUGAGCGAACUUUGGACCGCUUGAGCGAACAAAGCUGUUAUAAAAAGAACCCACCAUCGUAUUUUACCAGGACAGCGGAAAAAUUAGGGAAAAAGACUACAGAACUCGUAGAACAAAGGUGAAGAAGAUAGUUUGGACCUCUUUGAUCAUCCAUCGACGUGGGAACGCUCGGCGGACAUCACGGAUCGUCAUCAUCUUCUUGUUUCUCUUUGUAAGCCUUAAAGCAUCCAUGGAAAUGGAUUGCUAAACCCUUUGUGUUGGGAUUGGAUGUAGUCUUUUAACUUGAAUGUAUUGACUUUGAUUUCCAUGUAUAAAUUCAUGUUUCUAUGUGAUGAUUUCAAUGAUCUAUCUUGAUCUUAAUGCUAGUUUUAGAGUGAUCAACUAGAACUUGAUGUUAGAUUUGAUAAAUUGGUGGAAACUACUUCAUUGAAUCUGAAAUAGAUGAGAUCAUCUAUUGAAUCUAAGGCCUAGGAAUAGGGUUAGCUCAAUAGUCAUAUAACACCUAAGUUUAAUGCUACUUGCUUGCUUAAUUAUUCAAGGAAUUGAUGAUUAGUUAGUAAGUUGUUGAUCUCUUUCAUGAGGGAACUAUGAAAAAGAUAAGAUGUGGUGUGAUGGAAUCGAACAUAGGACAUGGUUUGUUUAUGGAAUCAUAAGAAUACUGAAGAGUUAAUUGAUGAACUCCAAUUCCAACCGUUUUCUCCGCUUGUUUACAAAUCAUUUACUAUUGCUUUCUUUUAAUUUUGCAACGCAGCACAAAACAAUCAACUAAACAUUUCUUGACUCUUUGCUUAAGUGAUUUAACUAGAGAACGGCAUUGUAUUCCAAUUCCCUGAGGACGAUAAAAACCCUUUACUAUACUACAAUUAAAUCUUGAAAGAGAUUUGAAAGUAGUUGUCGUAAAAACCUUUCAACAAAAUGGCGCCGUUGCCGGGGAAUUGCGUCAAUACAAAAGCAUUGCUUUAGUUUUGUUACUUUGAGCAAUUGUGAAUAUAGUUUUGAUUUCAGUAAAAUUUUCCUUGUUGUUACUAAUAUCUUGUGUUAGCUUGUGUUUUCUUGUUCAUUCAAUUGACUAGCUAAAGAGAAAAUAGCAACAAGAAGCUUCUGAAUCACCCACUUCCAAAGAUGCAACAACCAUCCUUAAGAGAUCAGGUAAUGUGGAAUAUUUGUUUUGAUACUCACUAUGUGGGUUAUUGUCAUUUCCAGGUAGAACAAGUUCCACCACCACCAUACCUACCAUAUUACUCCCCAGAAGAUGAUAAGAUUGCUAGGCUUGAGGAUACCUUGGUCCAAUUCAUGCAGAUUUCAAUAGUUAACCAAAAGAAUACCGAGGCUUCCAUCAAGAACCUAGAAAAUCAAGUGGGACAGCUAGCACAUCAAAUAGCUGAAUAUGGUAAGGUUGCUGUGGAAGCAAAAGAAAUUGAGAAAGAAAAUGAGGAAGAAGGUGAGGAGGAAGAAGAAGUAAAAGAAAAAAAUGAAGAAAAUGAUCCACCAAUUCACAACUCACCCCUAAAUUCUCCAAAGGUAAAACAUGAAGAGGUUGAGGUAAGCUUUGAAGUUUUUGAUGAUUUUCAGCAUCACCAAUGCAAUGGUAUGAUUUAUCUCGUUGAACAUAUAGAUUCUGUAUUUGGUGAUAGGUUUGAUAAAAAUAUUUCAUUGAAUACUUCAAAGAAUGUAUAUAGCUUAAAUUGUGAAUUAGGGUGGAUUGAAAAAAUAAAGAAAAAGAAUGAUUUUUGGAUGGCUUGGAAAGGUUUUGAUAGAACACUUGAUGAAAACCAAGUCAAAAAGCCAAAGAAGCGGAAGGGGUUAUACUAUAACCCUUGUUUGUGGUCACCAUGAUAGUGUUUGCGUCAAGCUAAUGACGUUAAACAAGCGCUUCCUGGGAGGCAACCCAGUGUUUAUUUAGAUUUUUAGCUAUUUUAGUAAGUGAUACAGUGAUUUUGUGAAGUUUCAUUUAAAUAUGUGCUUUCAUGUGCUUCACAGUUUUUGAUUAUCAUAUUGAGUGUGUUUAAAGGUCUAGGAGUCAAUAACUUGAAGUUUUUGCAAAUAUACAGUUGUAACUUAUGUUUUGCUUGAGAGCUUGGAUGAAAUUUGGACACAGUCAAAAAUUUGUCAAAAUCUGCAUUUAAGAAUUGUAACAUGUCCAAAUAGAGAUUUGACAGAUAUAUGAAUGAUUGGUUUGUAUGAUUUGAGCAUUUUGCAAAAUUUGGGGUAUGAGGUUGUGAGCAUCAGGAGAAAAACUAGUCCCUUUGAGCCAUAUUCUGCAUAAACAGCAGAGAAUUUCAUUUCAACCCAUUGAUCAAGCUCAAUUGUGCACCUAAAUGAUUAUAUUUUAGGCAUUGGGACAGUUUUAAAAUGAACUUGGUGAUUUUGAGAUGCAAUGGAUUGGUAAUUUUUCAAAGUGAACAAGUUUUCAAAUCCUAAGAAAAGUGAGAAUGAUUUUUACUCAUCUGUGUAUUUCAAAGGUUUCCACAAGUUUUAAAUGGUCUAACUAGAGGGUAGGAGUGUUUAGAAAGCAGGAAAAGUGAGAGAUACAAAAUCUAAGGUGUUGAGUUGUGGAAAAAGCUGUUAAAAGAGCAUGUAAAGUGAGUUUUGCAAAACCUGUGAUUUUUUUUGCAUGAAUGUUGGAUCCAUACAAGUUUCUUGCAAGCAUAUAAAGUGGUUUGACCAUGAGAAAGAUAUUCAACAUCAUUGAAACUGAAUUGGAGACAUGCACUUGUUGAAAAUUCACAGUUGCUUAUGAAUUAAGCUUUUUCCUUGUGAAUCUCAUGAUUUUGGCUAGUAACUAAUUGAAAUUGAGUGUGUAACAGGUCUGAAUUGAAGGGUGCAGCAUUGAGAGAUUCAUGGAAAAUAGUCAAGGUAAGUAUUAUGAAUUUUAGUUGUGAACGUUUUGAAAAAGAAAAAAAAAAAAAUUGGCAAAAUUCUGAGUUCCAGUGAAAAUCUGCUUCUGUUUUAAAACUGUAAAGUGUUUGCUUGGGCGAAGCUUUGAGCGAACUCUACCUAAGAAAUUACAUUUUCUACUGGAAAAGGAUUGCUUAAGCCAAGGUCUGGGCCAAGCAAAGUUCGCUCGAGCGAACUAAUGACGGCUUAAGCCAUCAUAACGCCUAUAAAAAGAAAAAAAAAAGAGACAUAACACAGAGGCACCGAUUACGAUUGUGCUUCAGCCUUCAAGCCUCGUUCUCCCUCUCAAUUUCUCGCCCGCUCUCCACCCUCGUGCUCACCCACGUCCCACUCUCACCAAGAACAAGUAAGUUCUCUUUUUCCUUUGUUUCUCCAUCAAUUUUGGGGUUUCAAUUUGGAAUCAAUUUUGGGAAUCAAUUCAUGCUGGUUGGGUUGUUAAGAAUUAUUCAGAAAUUUGGACCCUUCUAUCUUUGUUUCAUGCUGGUUCCGUUUUAGUUAUUGUUGCUUCUUGAACCAACACUUUGUUUGUGUAUCAACUUGUUCGUACAUGGUAAGGCUCUUUGAUAUUAUUGUGUAUGAUUUUGGGGUCUUGAAAUUUGUUUUGAAUGGGCUGAUUGAUUAUCAUGCUCCAUGAAAUCGAAUGUGUAUAUGAGAUUAAUUGUAUGAGAUAUGAGGAAGUUACGUGAAUGAAACAUGAAGAUUAGAAUGUUUGCACACCACAUGUUUGAAAAAAGGUCUCAAUGAUAUUGUAAAUUAUAAAAGCAUGUGUAGAAUGAAAAGCUAGGCUGGUUGGGGCUAAUUCUAAAAAUAAAAUCAAAGAUCAGUGGAAUUAACUGCUUGCUCAUAAAUUUGUGCAAAAUGAACAUGUGAAUUGAAAAUGCUCAUUUGUUUUGAACUUAAACUCACAUGAAUAUUGAAUGUCAAUUUAGGAUGGAACCCCGAACAAGAAAUUUGAAUGUCAACUUGAAUAACAAGAAGAGAAAGGAGCUCAACCACCACCUGAACCAUCAUCUGAAUCUGCAACUGAGUAUGAAGCUGAAUCUGAAUCGGAUGCCUCUGAAGAAGAAAAUGGAGAGGAACUUGUUAGGAGCGUAGACAACUCUAUCCUUGAUGAAAGACGAAAAAAAAAUAGAAGCCAAGUCAUUCAAGGGGGAGAAGGCAGUGGAGCUUGCAGAGGGUGAGUAUGAAGAAGAAUUCAGGGCUGAGUUAGUGAAGAGGGAGUGGCUAAAGCUUGCCUCACCGCCUCAAGAGUACAAUCCAAAUAUUGUACGUGAGUUCUAUUUAUAUGCUUAUGAUCCAAAUCAAUCAAAGCACAAGAGGGAAUCCAAGAUUGGCAAUAUAAAGGUACCAUUUGACAGAGACACUAUCAACAACUAUUUGGGGAAGCCUCUAGAAUUGGAAGGUGAUCAGUUGUGUGAAUAUCAAAAGAGGAAAAAUUCUCCUAUCAAUGGAUCUGGUGGAUUCGCAAAUGGUUCGAUCCACAAGGACUUAUGUAUACCAGGUCGGCAUUCAAUAGGCAGCCACAUUUUUCGCUCACGGAUGACCACCCGCGCUCAAAUUUGGAUGAGUUUUGUGUUGCACAACAUCAGUCCCUCCUUUCAUGUCUCCAGUCUUGCUUUGAAAGAUGCAUAUAUAGUUUGGACCAUCAUGAAGGGACUCUCAAUGGAUGUCGCUCAAAUAAUAUCUGAUGAAAUUUUAAAAGCUGCCAAGUUGGAAAAGACCACCACUGCUUUGCCUUUUCCAUCUCUCAUUACUCAGUUAUGCAAGGCACAUGGAGUUCUUAUUCCGAGAGUCCCAAAGGAAAAGUUGAAACCGCCAAUCAAUGCAAAGUACAUUGCCCGUAAUUGCACUAAUGAAGCAGAAGAGGUGGUCGUUGAAGCAGCACAGGGAAGCCAAUCUAGAAGGAGAGCACCACCACCACCACCUAAUCAGUCAGCUACUACAAGUAUCGAGGAUCCGAUGCAAGCAAUGAAAGAACUUGUGGAGCGGCUGCUCAAGCAAAAUGGAGAGAUGUUUGAUAGACAGGAGAAAAUGUGUACUAGAGUAGAAGAGCUGCAUGCUAAACAGGAUGACAUGGUUUUGGCAUUGAAUCAGUUGCGUAGUGCUAUGCAGGAUCAGUUAUAUGUCAGAUGGCCUGAGGACAGUCCACGUCCAGAGGAGGGAGAGAGGCAUGGUGCUGAUAGAGCUGGUGCUGGUUUAGCUGAUGGAGAUGGAGCUGAUGCAACUCAUGGAUGAUUGAUAGAGCUGAUGCACGCCAUACAAUGUUCAUUUUAUAAUUCUGUCAUUUUAUUUCAGUUUUAGUACUUUAUCUUAGUUUGAUGUUGGUUUUAGUAGUUGUUUUAGACUAUGCUACUUUUUGGUUUGAUGGUACUUGGUUUAGUUCUUUUGGUGUGUUGAUACUUGGGUUUUGAAUUUUGUUUUCUUUCUGUGUUUGUCCAGUGAUGAAAUUGCUAGUACUGGUUUGGUUUAUAAAUGAGCAUGCGAUCUGAAAAAUAUUUCAAGUUGAACAUGAUUUUGUGUUUUAAAUCCAUGAUCAUUGUGUUUUGCACUCACUUAAUGCCAUGAAAUGAUAUUAAUACAUCAUUCACAUGAGGUCAUAGGCUCAAUUUGUUUGAAAAUGCUUGAAAUCAGGGAUAUAUACCUAAGCCAUGCGAGGGAGUGUGACUAAACACUAGUGAGAUGAGAGGAAGAGAGAAUCAUCAUUGUUUUACAAAGCUGAACUUGCUUGAGUCUCUAAUUGUUUGGAAUUGCAUGGGAAUGAAAGAAAAUGACCAAGGCAUUUUGUUCUUUAGUGUAAAUAACUACUAUGCCAUAUAACCUACCCUUAUUUAGGAAAUCACUUGGUUACCCCAUUUGAGCCAAAAAUUUAAAAAAAUAUUCUUGCUUCUUGCAUAUGAUCCCAAGCUUAAAAGAAAAACAAUGUCUCUUCCUUACUUUCUAAGUUGAGAGAGCAUGCAUGAUUAGAUUGUAUAUAAGUGUGCAAGUUGAGGGGAGUGGAGGCUAUUAACAUCUUGGUUUGAAAUUAUCAAUUUCUCAAUCUUGUGUGUA